rnacentral:rRNA from 1 species
AGAGUUUGAUCCUGGCUCAGGACGAACGCUGGCGGCGUGCCUAAUACAUGCAAGUAGAACGCUGAAGAGAGGAGCUUGCUCUUCUUGGAUGAGUUGCGAACGGGUGAGUAACGCGUAGGUAACCUGCCUUGUAGCGGGGGAUAACUAUUGGAAACGAUAGCUAAUACCGCAUAACAAUGAAUGACACAUGUCAUUUAUUUGAAAGGGGCAAUUGCUCCACUACAAGAUGGACCUGCGUUGUAUUAGCUAGUAGGUGAGGUAACGGCUCACCUAGGCGACGAUACAUAGCCGACCUGAGAGGGUGAUCGGCCACACUGGGACUGAGACACGGCCCAGACUCCUACGGGAGGCAGCAGUAGGGAAUCUUCGGCAAUGGGGGCAACCCUGACCGAGCAACGCCGCGUGAGUGAAGAAGGUUUUCGGAUCGUAAAGCUCUGUUGUAAGUCAAGAACGAGUGUGAGAGUGGAAAGUUCACACUGUGACGGUAGCUUACCAGAAAGGGACGGCUAACUACGUGCCAGCAGCCGCGGUAAUACGUAGGUCCCGAGCGUUGUCCGGAUUUAUUGGGCGUAAAGCGAGCGCAGGCGGUUUGAUAAGUCUGAAGUUAAAGGCUGUGGCUCAACCAUAGUUCGCUUUGGAAACUGUCAAACUUGAGUGCAGAAGGGGAGAGUGGAAUUCCAUGUGUAGCGGUGAAAUGCGUAGAUAUAUGGAGGAACACCGGUGGCGAAAGCGGCUCUCUGGUCUGUAACUGACGCUGAGGCUCGAAAGCGUGGGGAGCGAACAGGAUUAGAUACCCUGGUAGUCCACGCCGUAAACGAU